CUGUGUGGUAAGUAGCUUCCUUACCUGCCAUACUGAAAGAAACAGUAUGGAAGACGUGCACGAAAGGUAUAGUGACAGGUACCUUUGUAUCCGGCCAGGGGUUGGUUAACUUUUUCAGUUACCACCUCGGUAGUAAGAUCAGGCUGGAGAAGGUGU